rnacentral:rRNA from 1 species
UGAGGGAAAGUUGCAAAGAACUUUGAAGAGAGAGUUCAAGAGUACGUGAAACUGCUCAGAGGCAAACGGGUGGGCCCUCGAAAUCCUCUUGCGGAGAGAUUCAGUCUGGAGCGGCAGGGGCGAUCGCGGGUAACGGACCCUCGAAAAGGACGGGUCCCGCGACGCAGUCCCGGUCGCGCCAGACGCACUUCUCCCCGCACUCGGGACGCCGCAACGGAUCGGGUAGCUGCGAGAGUCGGCCUUGGGGCGGUUCCAGGCAGGUGGCCGGGCGGCGGGCUUCGGCCCUCCGGCCGGUUAUUCACGGGACCGUUCGUGGCGCGACACCCGAUCGAGGUCAACGUUUCCCGCACGGGAAACCUUCCGUCUCCGUCUCCGGGCGCGGUGCCCGGGCCAGUGAGCGCCGGCGAUGCCGAACCACUCCCCGUAGUGGCCGGCGCGACGGUCUGCCGCCGAUGGGCCCGGGUCGACCGCUGGAGACUCCGGAACGGUUAGCGGCGAGUAGGUCGGUCACCCACCCGACCCGUCUUGAAACACGGACCAAGGAGUCUAACAUGUGCGCGAGUCGCAGGGUCUUGAAUAGGCCCUCGGGCGCAAUGAAAGUGAAGGUCCUCGGACCGAGUUGGGACUCCCGUCCUUCCGAGGGCGGGAAGCACCAACGACCCGUCCCGUCCGACUCGUCGGUGGGGCGGAGUCCGAGCGUACACGUUGGGACCCGAAAGAUGGUGAACUAUGCCUGGGCAGAACGAAGCCAGAGGAAACUCUGGUGGAGGUUCGUAGCGGUUCUGACGUGCAAAUCGAUCGUCAGACCCGGG